rnacentral:rRNA from 1 species
CAUACAUAUCAUGAGUAUAGCCAAUUGCAUCUAAACUCUGAAACUAAGCAGAGUCGAGCUUGGUAGGUACUUCAAUGGAAAUAUUAAGAAGCAGAGCUUUUAAGAAGU